rnacentral:rRNA from 1 species
UAGUCAUAUGCUUGUCUCAAAGAUUAAGCCAUGCAUGUCUAAGUAUAAGCAAUCUAUACUGUGAAACUGCGAAUGGCUCAUUAAAUCAGUUAUCGUUUAUUUGAUAGUACCUUACUACAUGGAUACCUGUGGUAAUUCUAGAGCUAAUACAUGCUAAAAACCCCGACUUCGGGAGGGGUGUAUUUAUUAGAUAAAAAACCAAUGCCCCUCGGGGCUCCUUGGUGAAUCAUAAUAACUUAACGAAUCGCAUGGCCUUGCGCCGGCGAUGGUUCAUUCAAAUUUCUGCCCUAUCAACUUUCGAUGGUAGGAUAGUGGCCUACCAUGGUGGCAACGGGUAACGGGGAAUUAGGGUUCGAUUCCGGAGAGGGAGCCUGAGAAACGGCUACCACAUCCAAGGAAGGCAGCAGGCGCGCAAAUUACCCAAUCCCGACACGGGGAGGUAGUGACAAUAAAUACUGAUACGGGGCUCUUUUGGGUCUCGUAAUUGGAAUGAGUACAAUCUAAAUCCCUUAACGAGGAACAAUU